GGCAUAGUAACAUAGUCAGGAAAUGUGCGGGUCCUGUAAACCUGAAAACGGGGGUUCGAAUCCCUCCCAUGCCU
rnacentral:tRNA from 1 species